AUUUAUUUAGUUUAAAUAAAACAUUACAUUUUCAAUGUAAAAAUAAGAAUCUUAUUUCUUUAUAAAUU
rnacentral:tRNA from 1 species